UACGUAGGGACCGAGCGUUGUCCGGAUUCAUUGGGCGUAAAGAGCUCGUAGGCGGCUGUUCAAGUCGAACGUGAAAACUCGGAGCUCAACUCCGAGCCUGCGUUCGAUACUGGACGGCUAGAGUCUGGUAGGGGGAUCUGGAAUUCCUGGUGUAGCGGUGGAAUGCGCAGAUAUCAGGAGGAACACCGGUGGCGAAGGCGGCUUUCUGGACAGUAACUGACGCUGAGGCGCGAAAGCUAGGGGAGCAAACAGG
rnacentral:rRNA from 1 species